CCGUUGCUCUGCAGGUGGGGGGUGGGGAGGGGGCAGACGUGGCGUUACUGGGCUCUGGCCGGAGCUCCCCCCCAGCAGAGGCAGAGGGCAGGCGGCCCCAGACAGCAGAUGUAGAGGCCUGUCUCAGCUCCUCGGACUCGAACCCGGCUGCCAAAGCUUUGAAGGGAAGUCAGCUACGUCGAUGCAGAAAAAAUGCAGUGAGACAUACUCGAUCCCCCAAACUGGCUCGAGAAGAGGAGAAAGUAUUCAGGAAAUGUUAAAAAAGGUGAAAGUAAGAAGAGUUUUAAUCGCUCUGCCAGACGCGGGGGUCUCUCCAGAGAUUCAUAGAGAACAAUCUUGAACCUCUUUUUUAACAUUUACAGACUUGCAACUCCUUUCAAACUCCACAUCUGAAAAAAGGCUCGUUCUUUUUCUGUUUUAUAUCAUUCUUCAUUUUUCUUCUUAGCUCUUAAAAUGCCUCACCUUUUUAUUACAUUUUAAUAGAGUCUUCCCCUCUCCUUUCA